rnacentral:lncRNA from 13 species
GCGAGGCUGAUAGUGGAGGAGGCUGUGCAGGCCAGAAGGCAGGCGGUACAUGGGAACUCUGUGCCUUCAUCUCAAUUUUCCUGUGGAACUGAAACUGCUGUGAAAAAUUAAGACUGUUAGAAACGCAGUUCGACGUGUUUGUGUGGGUCUGCUGGUGUCUCUUGAAGCGGGAGCAACUGCAUGUUUAACUUCAUAAGAAGCUGCCAAAUUGUUUUCCAAGAUGGUUGUACCAUUUUGCAUUCCCACCAGCAGCGCUUGAGACUUUCAGUUACUGGAACUUGCCAAUGUUUGGUGCUAUCAGUCUUUCCAAUUUGACUACACCUUCCGGAGCUAUGCAGAAUUCGAGCAGUGAGAGCAGACGUGCCAGGCUUCUUCACAGUCCCAAGGGAAGGCAAGCUGUCUUUCCCCAUUAGUAUGUCAACUGCAGCAUGUUUUGUAGAUGAUCUUUAUGUGAGAUUUUAAAAGUGUUCCUGUAUUCCUAUUUUUCUGGUAGUUUUUAUCCUGAGUGUUAAGUUUUAUCAAAUGCUUUUUCUGACUCUAUUUAUAUGAUCAUGUGAUU